GGGGCCAUAGCUCAGUUGGUAGAGCACCUGCAUGGCAUGCAGGGGGUCAGCGGUUCAAAUCCGCUUGGCUCCA
rnacentral:tRNA from 5 species